rnacentral:rRNA from 1 species
AUUGAACGCUGGCGGCAGGCCUAACACAUGCAAGUCGAACGAGUGGCGGAAGGGAGAGAUAUGUCUGGGACACGGCCUGGUGGAGGGGGUACACUACUGGAAACGGUUGCCAAACACGCAUAGAAUAGGCUGUGGCCAGAUGGGAUUAGCUGGUUGGUGGGGUAAAGGCGCACCAAGACGACGAUCCGUAGCUGGUCUGAGAGGAUGACCGGCCACACUGGAACUGAGACACGGUCCAGACUCCUACGGGAGGCAGCAGUGGGGAAUAUUGCACAAUGGGCGAAAGCCUGAUGCAGCCAUGCCGCGUGUAUGAAGAAGGCCUUCGGUUUGUAAAGUACUUUCAGUGGGGAGGCGUUACCCGCAGAAGAAGCACCGGCUAACUCCGUGCCAGCAGCCGCGGUAAUUC